GAGAAAUUGCACGGAUUAUUGGCUCUUUCCUGACCUUUUAAUGAAGACUUCUAAAAUCUCUAGCAUCUGAAUGCAUGAUUGAUAUAUAUAAAGAAGGAAUCUACAACCGGAUAUUUGCAACUCGACAAAAAGUGAUGUGAUUAUGUCUGAUUUAAAUCAGAUUUAAUUGGAUACCUGUAAACGACGUCACGUCUGUGUGUUGAACCUGAUUGACUUCUGAAUCUCCGAAUGCCUCGAUUUACCUACGAUGAUGUCACUUGCAGGAAGGAAGGGAAAUUAAAAAUUUCAUUUGACCCAAAUGGACAAGCGCCAAGAUUCUCAAUUCCAAGCAUUGUGAAAAUAUUGUACAGACUUGCUAUCGAUGCUUAAUCAUAAAUAUAGCAGAAAUAGCACAUCUAUAACAGCUACAUCGAAAGUCACUAUUAUCCAUUAAGGCAUAAUUCAGGAUCUUACCUUCCUAUUUUCUUAGAAAUACCAAUGCUCCUGCCUCAUAGGUUCAGCCUGCCAUUUAUUGUAGAAUUAUCCUUUGUAAAAAAUGUCAAUAAAAUGUAAGAUUUUUAUUCUACAA